GUGUCAGCAGCCGCGGUAAUACGUAGGUGGCAAGCGUUGUCCGGAUUUAUUGGGCGUAAAGAGCGCGCAGGCGGUUUGUUAAGUCCGAGGUGAAAUCUCCCGGCUCAACUGGGAGGGGUCUUCGGAUACUGGCAGGCUUGAGGAGAGCAGAGGUGAGUGGAAUUCUCGGUGUAGUGGUGAAAUGCGUAGAUAUCGAGAGGAACACCAGCGGCGAAGGCGGCUCACUGGGCUCCACCUGACGCUGAGGCGCGAAAGCGUGGGGAGCGAACCGGAUUAGAUACCCCAGUAGUCC
rnacentral:rRNA from 1 species